rnacentral:rRNA from 1 species
CAGUCGCCGCGGGAAUACGGAGGGGGCUAGCGUUGUUCGGAAUUACUGGGCGUAAAGCGCACGUAGGCUGCUUUGUAAGUCAGAGGUGAAAGCCCGGGGCUCAACCCCGGAUGUGCCUUUGAGACUGCAGAGCUAGAAUCGCGAAGAGGGUAGUGGAAUUCCGAGUGUAGAGGUGAAAUUCGUAGAUAUUCGAAAGGACACCAGUGGCGAAGGCGACUACCUGGUCUGGCAUUGACGCUCAUGUGCGAAAGCGUGGGGAGCAAACAGGAUUAGAUACCCGCGUAGUCCCUGUCUCUUAUAC